GUCAAGUUUGGGAAACACUGUUCUAGGUCAAUUAGGUAACAACAUUAACUACAGUUAGGAGACUUGAAAGGAAUCUGAAGACUCUGAACCUCUUUUUUCCUAGGACUAUCUUGGUGCAUGACUAUUAAACAACAGUAUCAUUUCAUGCUAUUUUGAGAUACAAGAACAAAGUUUAAAGCUUUCAAUAGAUUUAAUAUAAUUUAAAAAAUGAGUUAACUCUCCAGUUAUAGAAUUCUUUUCUGAGAAAUACACAUACCAUCUAUCCAAAUCUAUGUAAGAUAGCAACUCAUCUGGGGCCUCAAGUAUGCACCUUCCUUCCCCUGCCUUCCUGAACUUUCUUAAACAUGUAGGAUUAGAAGAUACAAAAAUAUGUGCUGAUUUGUGCAACGUUUGUAAUUUAAUUUAUAAAACAUUUGAGUCACUUGGUCCCAAUAAUUUCAGCCUAUACAAACCUAGUUCCUAUGUGGCCCCUUGAAGCUAGGUAAGAAGCUUAAAACCCCAAAACAAGAAAGGUGUUAUACAAAAAUGUAACAAUGCAUUAUUGUAAAUCAGUAUACAAAUGUACUAAAGCUACAUGCAAAUUCCCCCAGAUCAAAUUAAAAUAUAAACAUCAGUGCCCUUUUCCAUUUUUUCCCAUUGUGUUUUCACAUAUCUCUUAUUAAAGCAAAUCCUAUUGUUCAGCAAAUGUACAUGGAAAUCUUUGAAGAGGUUGUCCUUAAAGUUAUGCUGGAUCCACAGGAUCACUUUCACUUGAAUCUACCUCAGCCCCAUAAUGAAAGCUUUAGAUUUUAGGAGUGCCUAAACUUCUGUUUAUUUCCUGUUAGAUCUUUUUUUUUUUUCAUCAGUCAUAAUUAUUUUUAACAGAGCCAACACAGAAAUAAUCCACCGGGACAUUAAUCUGUGAAUUAUUUUCAAGGAACAAAUUAUGAAAGAAUUGCUGAACUUGCUAACUUAAAUGAAUCUUACUUAAAUGAGUAGAGGAGCUUUUAGAACAGCCUGUCUUUGGCAUAUACAUUAUAACUGCAGCAUUCUCUUACUGACUGCUGCAAAACAAGGUUCUUAAAUCAGAUUGGUAACGUGACAACCUGCUUUAUGACCAUCGCAACUUAUGAUCAUAAUGGGCAGGCUCCUUUACAGUCAUAAAUUUAGAACUGCCUAUAUUUUGUAAGCAUUUUUACUGAAGGCUCAGGAAGGACUGCAUUUUAAAGAGGAAAUGUGUCAUUGGCAUGGUAUUUCUUCCUCCCACCUAAGAUGCAUUUGAUUCCUGAAACUGGAUCCCAGACCUAUGAAGAAUGGCAAAGAGAGGACCCUUCUGUUUUUGAUGUUUUAAAACAAACUGUUUUAACAGACUGAGACGAAUUAUCAUCUUGGCUCCCCUGAGUAAGACCUCUCGAAGACAGGAUGAUGCCUUGGAUGGUGCUUCAUCCACUCCCAGGGCUUUGGCAGUUCAGGAGGAUGAGAAGAUCUUAUUUUGCCAACCCCAAUACCGUGGCAUUUGAUUUUCUUCCAUCACUGCCUCUUUCUUAAGCCUUCCACUUUCUCUAGUUUAACUUCUCCUUUUCCUUUCACACUGCUAUUACUUAGACAAUUUUUAUUUUUUUUAUCCUGCCUUUAUAAUUUUUGUAAGUAACUGAAAGAAGCGAACAUACCCAAUUCUCCUUCCUCCUAUUUUCCACACAACAGUCUUAUGAGGUGAGUUGGACUGAGAAAAAGUGGCCCAAAAUCACGCAGCUGGUUUCCACACCUGAGGCUGGACUCUGGAGAGCUGGACCAGAACCAGGGAAUUGAAAUUAUACUGGUGAAAUUCAAAUUCGAUAUUGGAAGGUAUUUAUUAGAUUUUUUUUUUUAAAAAAACACACCUUUAUUACUUUUAUAAGUAACUCAGAACAGCGAACAUAUACCCCUCGCCAAGGAAUAUUAAAGUUACUCCAAAUUCGAAGGAAAUCUUCACAAGGAAUAAGAAGCUGAAGUUACUGCAUUCAUCAAUCGUUUCAGCAUUCUUCUAGCUUUCCAAUACGUUGCAACGACUUCGCACAUCAGUCCCACAUCCGGCAAAAUUGGAUACUACGGCAGGAACAGAAUAUCAGAAUAGGAUCAGAAUAACAGAGCUGGGAGGGACUUUAGAGGUCUUGUAGUCCAGCCCCUUGCUCGAGCAGGAGACUCUAUAUACCAUUCCGGACAAAAGGCUGCCCAAUGAAUGUCUUUUUGAAAACUAUCAGCGAAGGCUACGCAGCCUUUUCUCCUCUCCUACUUUAAAUGUUGUAUCGUCCAACCUGGAAUCCAAACUGCGUAGCUGUUUGGCUGGACGUUCAAAAUUUGACUAAACGUUCGAAAAUUAUUGAUAAUCCCUUCAAUCGCUGAAACGGGAUUGCUUGGUUUCUAGCAACGCCUACUAUGGUUAAGGAAGUACAGCAGAAAAUCACAGCGAAAAGCAGAUCCGACCGUUUCUAGGAGUCGGCAUUGCUGGAUGAGUCUCUAUUGUUCCGUAGCCAAUAAGAUAAACCACAAUGCUGGCUGGGAGAAAAAGGAGGGCAGUUUCCUUAGCAACCUGUUGUACUGUAGGUGUAGCUAAGCUUGGAAGAAUCCGAUCUCUGCCCGUGGUCUGCGUGCUUCUCUGGCGGUUCGUGUCCUGAAAAAUGGUAAUAUUUAUUCACACAUCUCAGAAAUAAUGAAAUCGGUGUCACUUGCAGCCAUUUUCUGGUGUAUCCUAAUACCAUCAUCUGAGACCAGCAAGGAGAAUUCCGGGACUCAGGCAGGUCCCGCCGCCGUUCUACCCUCUUACGACAAUGACUACAAAAGAGAGUACGACCUGAUGAUGAGUCGACACAUCACACCUUUUUCACUACCUGCAAAACUCAUAAUCCCUAAGACGGGGGCACAGUAACUGCCUGUAUGUGGUGGACCCAAUGCUAGUGCCAAGUCAUGAUGUUGAGGAGUAUUGCCAGCUGUGUGAUUGCAAGUCCGUGGAAAGUAGUGACACUGCCAUUAAGGUAAUAUACCAGACUAUCUCUUACACCAGCUUUCUCUGUCUUCUUUCCUCAAGGUAUAGAACUGGGAAUUUUGACUGAUUCCAACUGUCAAGGAAACUAAAAGAGAUUGAAAAUGUAGUCACAAGGAUAUUAGCACUGUGACACUGAAGUAAUUGUAUCUGUGGUAUUUCUCAUAUAGAUCUUAUCUUAUAGUUAAAACUUUGGCUGCCAACCACAGAUAUUGUUGCAUGUGAGUCAACUUCUCUAGAGAGGCAAGUAUAAGCACUGGUAGACUCAUCUUAUGUUCUUCUUGUGGACUGUUUAACUCUGCUAGGAAAACUGUCAUUUUCUUCAUCCUUUCCUAAUCUGAUGGCCUUAAACAAUGCAGAAUUCUGAGCUUGCAGGUUCUUUCAAAGAUUGAAAAGGCAUCAAACUGGGGAAAUCCAGCCUGGUUCUUUUGCCCAUAUUUUGAUCUUACACUUUGAUUUCCCUUUUUGCAAUAUAAAUGUUGACGCCUUGCUUAAAUCAUGUUCUUUUAUCCAGUAUGUUUGAUGGUAUUUCACUUCUCUGUCCAUGCAGAUCAUCCUCAUCGUUUUCCUCUUAGUAUUUGUAAUCAUUUUAUUCUUCAACAUCGUUUUAACGAUAGUUAAGCACUUCAGCCAUAAACCUGAUGCCUAUACCAAUUCCCUGCACAAUGAAGAAGAGUCAGAGGAUUCCUGCAUUUGAUCUCUUCCCCAAUCCACCCAACAGAAUAAGCUGCAUUUGAAGCAAGAUACUGGUUGCACUGCACAUUCCAUAGAUGAGGACUGCCGCUUGCUUUUUUUCUUACAUUUUUCUAACUUCACUGAUUUUUUUAAAAUCUUUUUUUAGAUGAUCAUGACCUUUUUGCUGUUCUUAAAUACCCUGACAAGUUCAGGUCAUUUUGAACUUACCGGUAUAUAUUCUUCCCUGAAAACUUGUUCUCAUCUUAAGUAUUUACUUUCCCUUCUCCACCUCUACGAUUAAACGGUACAUUAUUGUAAAUCAAUAUAUAGAUAUAUUAAAGUUCUGUACAAAUUUCUCCAAAGCAAAUAAAAAUAUAAACAUUACAGCUCU